AGGUGUGUGAGGAGCGAACCAAGAGAAAGGCUGAGACGAAACACGGAAAGUCGCCAGCCUUUUUCUUGUG
rfam:Limnothrix rosea IAM M-220 NIES-208_Scaffold_19, whole genome shotgun sequence.